GAGGGUGUAGCUCAGUGGUGGAGCACAUGCCUGGCAUGUACAAGGUCCUGGGUUCAAUCUCCAGUGUCUCCA
rnacentral:tRNA from 1 species